rnacentral:rRNA from 1 species
CGUGUAGGCGGAGAUGCAAGUUGGGAGUGAAAUCCCGGGGCUCAACCCCGGAACUGCUUUCAAAACUGCAUCCCUUGAGUAUCGGAGAGGCAAGCGGAAUUCCUAGUGUAGCGGUGAAAUGCGUAGAUAUUAGGAGGAACACCAGUGGCGAAGGCGGCUUGCUGGACGACAACUGACGCUGAGGCGCGAAAGCGUGGGGAGCAAACAG